rnacentral:rRNA from 1 species
GACAGAGGGUGCAAACGUUGUUCGGAAUUACUGGGCGUAAAGCGAGUGUAGGCGGUCUUCUAAGUCGGAUGUGAAAGCCCCGGGCUCAACCCGGGAAGUGCACUCGAUACUGGGAGGCUAGAGUAUCGGAGAGGUUGGUGGAAUUCUCGGUGUAGAGGUGAAAUUCGUAGAUAUCGAGAGGAACACCGGUGGCGAAGGCGGCCAACUGGACGAAUACUGACGC